GUUCAAUCCAAAUUGUGUUUACGUUGUACAACCUAUGCCGUGUAAAACACAAUGUUUCCACUGCUAGUCGUUUAACCGCUUCAUACAUUUUGCAUAGUUCAUCAUAUUUCGAUUUUACUUGAUAACAAUCAAAAUCCAAUACAAGUACAACGAAAACACCGCAAGACGUCCACAUCCAAAGAGUAGGAAUUUAGUUUAUCAAAAUAAUCCAACUGGUUUGGUUUGGCAAGCGUUAAAUCAUUUUUAAGAACAUAUGAAACACUUUAGUGUUUUGAUGACAUUAGUCCUUGGACAUGUUUUGGCAUUAUCAGAAGAUGCCUUUAAACAGCACGUAUUCCAUACAAACUAUAUCCUCAAACGAUUAAAUCCAGAGCAAUUGGGCGCUAUAAUCACAAAUUAUAUAUUGGAU